ACGCUGCUCGGCGCACUUCCGCCGCUAUAUAAAGGCUCGCUGACCUGGCUGCUUCUAAGUUAGGGGGGAGAAAGAUAAUCGAGUUUCCUGAACUUGGCCUGAAGUCAGAUGUGAUUUGAUUUGGAUUGCAGACAGCCUGGAGAAGUGCCUCCGAGGCCACUUGGAGAGUUGGACGUGGUUUGUGGCCUCUCAGAAGAGAAACUCCGGUGCUGUGUUCACAUUCCCGUGGCUGGGGGUGAUCUCUGAGCCAUCUCAACAGCCGGCAGCCCAGAAGUUUCUCACACAUGAAGAAUAACCACAUCUGUCCAAAAAGCUGCAGUGCUUCUGCUGGGAAAAGAAUGCUUCUGAUUUUCUUUUUCUGAACAGCCUAAAAAAGUCAAUGACUGGAUUUUAGUGGAAAAUAAGACCCAAGUCAGAUUUCUCCCUGCCACCCUUCCCAAAACUGUGAUGAAUUUGGUUUCUGGCAUUUUCCAAUGGGAAAUUUUCCAAUCAGAAAUUACUUUGGCUCGGGUGUGAGACAAGGAAAUACACUUUUUUUAAAAACCAGCACCUGGAAAAUUUUAUUUGGAAAUGGAGAAAAGAUCUGAUUGGGGAAAAAAAAAAGAAGAAGAAAAAAAGGCUUUCUGACCCAUGCAUUUUGAUCAGCUCUUCUCUUCCUGUUUCUAAAGAUGUGUACACCAAUGUCAUCUAAUUCCCUCUGAUCAGCCUCUACCUUUUCAGGUCUAUUGAUCUGUUCUAGUUUAUGAAGCUCCCAACUAUUGGAAAGAAGAGCUUAUAAAUAACUACAGAGAAAUGGGAUUCUGUAUCACAGAAGUUCCAGCUGUGCUGCUUUUGUUUAUCACACUACACACAUUUUUUGGAACUUUUCUUAACCAGGAGGUUGCAAAAGGAAGCUCAGCAUGCCAAUGUCCCCGAGAACUGUUGUGUUGUAUUGUACUGUGCAAACGGUGUUUUCUCCCUCUUGGGAUGGAAAGGUUUCUGGGUUUGUUUUUGUAGAUAAGAUAUAAACUCAGUAGUGGUUCUGCUAGUAAAUACAAGUAGCCUCAAGCUCUGGUAUGUGUCUUGUUGGUCCCUCCAGUAAUUUGACAAAGUACCCUUCCAACAAGCUCCUGAAAAGUACAAUAUGAACAAUUUUGUUGAUCCCUCAGUAUCUGGAAUAGUAGGAAGGGACACUUUGCCAGCAUUGGUGUGGGGUUUGGCUGUCUCACCCAUGUUCAGUGCUGGCCCAUCUCAGGAAUCAGAUGUGUUACCAGGAGGGUGAGGAAAGUUCUCUCUCUAAAACUGCCACUUCUGGAAUUUUGGCUACCUUUUGUGGGGAAAGGGGUAGGAAGCCUCAAAGAGGUAAAGCCUGUAAUUUACAGUACAGGGGAGCUUCCACACAAGGAGAGAUUGAUCAAACUGAGAUGUGUUGUUUGACUAGAGAGGCAGCUGGGAGAGGGGGAUGAUCAAGCCAAGCACAGUCCAGACAGGAGUAGGAUGGUUUGCUGUAUCUUGUGAUGUGGGUUACCCAGUGAACUCAUUAAGCAAAAAGUUUAAAGAAAAUGAAGGUAAGUCCAUUCUCCUGACAUGCAUAAUUACAUAUAUAUUCCAUCAUCACCUGCUGCUGUGGAGUCCAAAAGAGGAGGAUGAAUAGAUGUGAGGCAGCACUAGAUCAUCACGGAAGGCAGAUCCCUGAGGAUGUGGAAUGUAAUCAAAGGGUUUGCAGCAAGAAGAGAAUCACAGAUAUCCUCAUUUGCUUUCCCCCUCUCCCUCUUGGGAAGGCUGUGGCCAUUUCUUAUGCCUGCUUUGGCUUCUUGUCUGGUCUCAGAGGCUGAGUGCUGGAGGGUGUGGUUGGACUGACAGCACUUCCCUUCCUCAGGAAUGGACGUCCCCAGUGUUCUCCCACCAGGUGAGACCCUGUGUGCUGGAUGAGGAAGCACGGGGCAGGUGGUGAAGGAAGGGCAAUGAGGCUGGAGCACAUCAUGAUUCCCACCAGGACCAUCAGGCCUGGGGCGUGUGGAGGACACCACAGGCCCGUGGGGCUGAGGCAGUGGCCUUGAGAGCAAUCUCCUUUGUAGGGAAAGAAGGAUCCAUCUGAUCAAUGCUAGAAGCUUGGAGACAAAUGCCUCUUGCUCCUCCAGACUGUCUCUUGUAGCAGGUCUCUAAUUAGCUGAGAAUUUGCAGCCUUCGGAGCCAUCCGAAGGCGCUGCCUGCACCUUGUGAUCUCCCCGGCUGAGUGAAUGUGUCAGGAUGGGUGCUUCAAACCCAGCCCCAGUUCCAACACAGCCCUCCAGAGUGCCUGGGUACCUUAGAUCCUUCCUCCUCAGCCUCCCCAUCCCUAUCACAGGCCAUUUUAUUUUGUUUAAAGAAGAAGGAAUUCUUCACAAGUUAGAAGAGGUGAUAAGGGAAAGACAGGAGGAAUAAAAGGCUCAGCUGUCAGAGACCAGGGCAAGGACCAGCCCCUCCCUCAGCUCUGUGUUACACAGCCAUGUUGUAAGCUCAGCUGCAGAUGACAAGUGCUUUGUUUGUGACUCCUGGGUGCUCUGCACUUGAUGCAUCUCCCAACAGAUGCAAGGCAAGCUCUGCUCCUCCUGUCUGGCCUGGCUUGCAGUGAUGGAUUAAGUGGGUCAGAGUAGGAGGAGUCCUGGUGGAAGCAGUGCCUCUGAAGUGAACCUAUGGACAAGUUCCUUUGUAUGUAGAAGAGAUUGCCACUGAUGUGAAUUCUCUACCCAGGACCCCUGAACUGAGCAAUGACAAGCUGCUCUGUUCUGCCCCAUGAAGGAGGUCUCCAAGCAUUUUAAAAGAAAGCUAACAUCACAGAUUGAAGCCUCAAGAUGGGAUAUUUUUCGGUGACCAAGUCUGGAGCCAGCCAGAGAGACCUGGGCUGCCUGUGGUGCUGCAUUGACAUCACAUCUCUGUGGUGAAGGUAGGCUGGUCCUCAGUGCUCCCUGAGACAUGGACUCAGAGGGAGCCCCAUCUCUUAUCUCACUCUCCCUGGGCGCCCACCACAUGCACAGCCCUCUGAGAAGGAGCUCCCUGGCUGGGAGAGUGAAGGCUCAGAGGUAUUUAAGCCUUUUGGGAUGGGUUUUAUCAGGAAUGGGAUUUGAGCUGCCUGAGAGGGAGGUGACACAGGCUGGCAGCUGGGGAAUUGGUUUGGAGCAUCAGAACAAAUGGCUGCUGUAAUUCUGGAGCAUUCUCUUGUUAAGUUACCUCUCAUGUCACCCUCCUCCAUUUCAGAACUGAGAGGAAAACAUGGCCUCAGAGCAUUUUUCUCCCUAUGAUGCCUUCACCUUUCUUGUAUUCCCUUUUCCCUUACAAUCUCAGCUGACUGGGUCUCACUGCCAGCCUAUUGAAAGGAAAGGCACGUGCUGGCUUAUGGAGGGAGAGAGACCUGAGACAGGAUAAAUCUGUAUGCAAUGAGAACGGGGGGAAGCAAGUCAGCUGCUCUGACACUUUUAUUAUGGAGCCAGGCUGCUUGGGGAUGAAUCUUUCUUGAAACGUGUUGCUGGAUGACAUUUCUACCAGGUCUCAGCAGUAACCUUCACCAAGCCUUGCUGCCCAGCCCUGUGCUUGCCUUUUCCUGGGACAAAGGGAAUGAAUAUCAGCUGGAAAUGCCACAGGCAGCAGGGAUCAGUGGGGCUCAGUGCACCUCCAGUGAGUCUGAAAGCACCUGGAGCUCUUCAGGCUUUGGUGACUCCAGCUUAUGGCUGCAUGUGUUGUUUUGCAAAGGACUUGUGGGCUCCUACAUCUGUUCCUCAUUUCAGAAACAAAGAGGAUGCAGCAGAGACCAAAAUGAAAUCCUCCUCAGAGUUGUCCAGAAGGAUGGAUAAGUGCAAGAAAAUAUAAUUCCAUGGCUGUGGAAAAGGAGUAUCCACUUGUUUAGUAACCUGGUAAUGAGUGCUGGCUGUGCUCCAUGCAGAGGCUGGGAGCCACAGGAGAUUUGGGGUUACAGAGAGGGCUGGGCAGGGUUUGCUGCCCUCUCAGCUCCUUUCCUGUAUCACUGUCAGCUUAGAUUUCACAUCAAGAGCGUGAUGUUAUGGCUGGCGGUGACAACAGCAGAAUGUCACUGGCAAAGGUGAAAUCUUUCCCUCCAUCAGGGUAAUUCUCCCUUCCCUUUCCCCUUCCCCUUGGCUUGUGUUGGGCCCUGCUGACUGCUGGUGCUGAGCAGGGCAGGCCCUCACGCUGCUCAGGAGACAGAAUUUACUGUUCUGAGCAGCUCUUCCUGCUCUCUGGGUCAGUGGCUCCCUGUCUCUGCUGCCCCUUGGCUGCACAGUGACCUGGGACAGAGGGAAACCCCUCAUCACUGCCUGAAACAAACUGGGGACAUUGGGAGCUGCACUGUUUGCCAUCAUGUGCUCCUCUGCCAUGCUGGCAGGCUUGUACCACUGGAGGUCUGCCAGGGAUGUCCCUUCAGAGCCCCCCUAUGCUCUUCAGGGCCAGGCCUAAGCUAGGUCUGGGUCUGAGGGGCAGCCUUACAUGUCAAUGGUUCAUGUUCUCUGCAGGCUGCCUCUCACCUCCUCUGAGCUGGAGCUGAUCAUGUGGAAAGGUGCCUGUGCCCAGCUGCUGCAGCAUCUGUCCCCAAGAGCCAGUUCAGCAAAGCCUUGGUGUUGUUCUGGGUCCAGCUUUCACUUUCCAGCUGGUUAUGGAGAAAAGGAUGAAGGUUCCUGCUGCUGCCAGGCCACAGUAGAAAACAGAGGAAGGAGACUGGCCUCUUAGUGUGCUUAAAGAUCCAAAAGUUUAAUCUGACUCUGCUUCUCCCUCAGCCCUGAUCCUGUUGUAUCUUUUCCAUCUGAUGCCUGAGUCUUUUUUUGUUUUGCUAUUUUUUCCUUGUUCUCUUUCCCCCCUCACUUUAUGAAAAAUGGCUUUCCCAUCUGCAUCUGUCAGGAGCCUGCCUGAGCCGGGUGUACGGCUCAGUGAAUAUACAAAUGUGUGCUUGGGUCAUGGCCCCCCUGACAGGCCAGAGAUGAAUUCCAAACAGGAAGAACAGGAAGAAGAGCUUCUGCUGCCUCUCAUGGUUGCUUUUGUUAUCCCAAGGAGGUGUGAGAAUCGCCUUUGGGAGCUCCUGCUCUGCCUUACCAAGGAUCAAUUCUCUCUCAUCCAUCAUCAGAUGAGUCCUCCUUGCUCCCAUCUCAGCUGCUGAUGGGAAUGCUGGGGAAAUGGAAAACUUUUUAAUCCUGCUUUUUACUACUAUUCUUUUCUUUCUGCCUUUUGCAUCCCACCUCUUAGGCCCAUGACAAUGCAUUUGGCAGGCUGGGCUUGAGCACACUCCAUGGUCCAGGUACUUUUUAAAGAGAGUGAAGGAUGAGGUAGAGGGAAGGGCAUUGUUUUGUAGAAUCAUAGAAUAUCCUGAGUAGGAACCCACAAGGAUCAUCAAGUCUAACUCCCCUCCCUGCACAGGACACCCCAACAAUCCCACCAUGUAUCUGAGAGCAUUGUGCAAACACUCCUUGAGCUCUGGCAGGCUUGUGGCUACAACCACUGCCCUGGGGAGCCUGUUCCAGUGCCCAAUCACCCUCUGAGUGAAGUUCAUUUUCCUAACACCCACCCUAAACCUCCCCUGACACAGCUUCUUGCUGUUCCUUUGGGUCCUGCUGCUGGUCACCACUUUGACCUAAGCCCCUUAAAGGGCUUAAAAUUCAGCUUUGGAAUUUUUCAGCAGUGGUGCACAACUCCACAUAGGAUGCCCUGAAAUCACCCGGAUGCUCCUACACAUUCCAGCCUCUCUGUUUCCCCUUUCCCUGCUGCAGGGGAGAAGAGCUCCCUGUGGGGCUCUGCAAGGAGGAGUUUUUGAGAAGGGAGAAGAGCUCCCUGUGGGGCUCUGCAAGGAGUUCUUGUCUGUAUGCUGUGUACCUGCAGGGUCACUCAGGUGCCCAAAGGGAGCUGACAGCCUGCCCUGACACCCAGGGGUUUGCUGAGCUGCUCCUGCCCCUUGGCUUUGUGCAGGCUGGUGUGGGAGCUGCUUCCCUCACCCCCGUGUCAGAGGAGCCAGGCAGGCAGAAAAUGAAACGAGUCUGUCCAUCCACGCUCUUGCCACAGCUACCUGGUCAAGGAGGGGAGAUUCCUGGGAGGGCAGACCCUCACUUUGGCAGGAAGAGAGAGCAGGCAGCUUGAGCUGAGCUCAUUUUUUCUCUAAGCAGAUGGAUGUUCAGUGGGGCCCCACAAAACCCCUCUCGCUCCAGGCUGUGAGCCCACCGAACCAAAGCGCUGUGCUGACACGGAGAAAAGCAUCACUCCAUUGAUGCUCAGCCUGAGCUGCUGCUUCCAUUCCACUCAGGACUCAGCAGCAGCCUCCUCCUGCCCCCAGCUCCCAGGAGGAGCCAGCUGCACACCUGCAUCCAGGCGAGGAGGGAGCAGGAGCUGUGCAGCCACGAGGAAGGCACCGAUGGCAGAUCCCUGCAGCAUUCCCACCCCGCGGGGCUCUUGGCCAGCGAGCUUUGAAAGCUCUCGGUGCUCCUGCAGGGUUUGACUUUUAAAUCUGCAAAUGGACUUAACUGCUAAUGUGCUCAUCAGUUCAGAAGUGGCAGCCAGAGGAGCUGUGAGACUCGGUGAAGGUGGGAGAAGCCCCAGAGUUGAGCCUGGAGCCCCAGGAAAGGUUGUUCCAUGGACAGAAGGACCCAUUCAGGUCCUUCCACAGCUGUAUCUCCUUCCCAGCAGACUGGGAGAGAUCCAAUCCGUGCUGCAGCUCAUGGUGCCCAUUGUGCUUCCUUCCACUGGUGGCAGAGAGGAAGCUCCUGUGAGGAGGAAGGAGGGAAGCCUGAUGUCCCUGCUGUGCUGCUGUGGGUGACAGCUCCUUGCUGGCCUCCCCCAGGAUGGUGUGUCCUGCUGGGACCUGUGCUGAGCUCUGUGGGACGGUGGCACAGGGCUGUCCAGGCCAGCUGGGCUCCAGGGAAGAGUGGCUACAGCACUGGGGAGUGGGGAUGGAGUGUCAGAGAGGAGUGACAGCACUGGGGAUCUGCCAGGAAAGGCUCUGCCUGCCCCCCGAUCCACAGCAUCCAUCCCAGCCCCCAGGAGCACAGACCAGCUGAUGUUCUGCCUGGGAGUCUGGCUUUCCCUGGAGCUGGAGAGCCGUCCCUGCCUUGGAUGAGCUCUCACAUGCCCUGUAAAGGUACCAAGGUGGCUCUGAGCUGGGGAGAAGUGAUACCUGGCAUGCAGAUACCCCAGCCCCACCUUUCUUUGGCCACUGACCACCUCAGAGCCUGUUUUCCACCACACAGCCCUUUGGCUGAGUUUGCUCUGACUUUCUGGUCUCCCUGUAACAGCAUGGUGAAGGCAGAGAGCAGCUUCAAGGAGAAGCACCAGGAGCCCUCUGGCUCACACAGGUAUGGAAGCAGCUGGGGCUCAAGUGCCUGGGGUGGGCUUUGGGAAGGCAGAAGUGAAGGAGGGAGCACAGCUGGAAUGUUGAUUAAACCCUGAGAAGGUUUUUAACUGGAUUAUAUUGCUGCUGUGUUGGAGCCAGGAGCAGGAUGAGGGGUUUUGGAGAUGCCUGGGCAUGGGGAAGAGCCAAUUCCUGCAUGGGGAGGGAGCACUGUGACCCUGCUCCCUGUGCCAGAUGCCAUCUGGAGCAGGCUCUGGGCAUGCCUGGGUGUCUGUGUGUCCUGGCAGCCCUGGAAGUGGCCUUCAAAAGGGCUGGUGGGUGGGAAGAGACAGCCACUGUUUCAAGAUAGCUCUCAAAAUUCAUGGGAAUAUUCAUGGCCAGCUCUGCUGACCCAGGGGCUGUGCUCCCCUCCUCCUGCCCACCUGGAACAGGGAUGCAGGGCAGCUCCAGACUCAGUCUGGCCUCUCUCUGCUCCCACAGCUCCCCAGGAAGAGGAGAAACCGACCUGAGACGUCCUGGGUCACCCCUUGCCAGGUCACCUGUGCUUGCUGGCAUUGUGCUGGGCAGGGCUGUCCUGGGUGAGGUCUGGCUCUGUGGGCACCAGGCAGGGGAUGUGGGAGCUCUGCCUUUGGGUCUGUGCUGCUGCCUGGCACCAGGAAUCCUGCCUGGCACCAGGAAUCCUGCCUGCAGCAAUCAAUGUGGUCUGGGCUCCAGUUUUUUGCUUUGGCAGCAGGCUGAGCUCUCAUCCUGCUGGCCAGGCUUCAUCCAGCUGGAUCCUCUGCUGUCCAAGGGAAUGCCAAAAAGCUUUUGGUGCCUGUGGCUGCUGCGUGUUUGGGGUGGGAGAGCUCAUUCCUCAGCCUUUUGUUUGAGUUCUCCAUUUAUGCAAGGCUUGGACAGAAAAGGGACCCUGCCCUCUGCCAGCACGAGUACUCCUGAUCUCAGGAGGGAAACUGAGGCUCAAAGAGCCACUGGCACCUCACUCACACACACAUCCACUCCUCUGUGUACAUCUGCCAACCCCUAGGGCCCAAAGUACUCUGAGUAACCACAACUUUGUGCUUUUCAGCCAGAAGAAGCAUCAUUUGUUAAAUUUUCCAGCUGUCAGGAAAACUGGGAAGACAGCAGAAGCCUCUCCUGUCAUGGUGGAUGGUGUAAAUCUCUUGGAGUUGCACCUGCUGAUGGCCUGACCCUGGAGACCUCUGAGAGCUGGAGCUAGUGGGGAUUGAAUCCACCAGGGAAUAAGAGAAUCUCGCCCGAAGAAGCCGCUUUGAUCAAUGCACUUGGAUUCCAGCCUUCAGCCUUGAUCAAGGCGGGAGGAGGGACGAGGGAGAGCGAGCACUCGCGGGCUCUUUGGGGACGGCCGGGAAGCGAGGCUGCCGCUCCAAGGAAAGCUGCUUCAAAGAGCCUUUCUGAGAGUGUGGCUCCCAACACCACUGCCAAGUCUCAGGAGAGAAGGAAUCUCUCUCCAGCAGCUCUGUGGGCUUUAGAAGAGCCCCUGGUCUAUGGCCAGUGAGGAGAUUACUUCAAUGGAGCAAGCCUGAUCCAAACAACACUCUCCUGGGAUUUAUAGGAUAUCACAUCCCUGGACACUAUUUGGGGUGGUUUAUGUGCCACAUUUUUUUACUGUUAUGUUGGUGAAACAGCCAUAGAAAGUAGCUUGGGAAAACAAGGUGGGAGAUAAAUCCUGGUGGCGUGGGCUCUCCCAGCGAUCAAAUGGGCUACAGGUGGAGAAAUAGGCCCUUGAGACCCUUUAUUUCCUGCAAUUCCCAUCUUCCUGAGUGGAUCAAUACCACCAGAGGCAAGGGAAGGGUGAGGAGCCAUUGCAGGGAAUCACUUCAAGGGAAAAGCUGGAAGGUGGUAACUGAUGUAGCUGAUUUUUGAGGCAGAUGGGCUGGGAGGGUUUGUGUAUCCCAGGAGGGUUUGUGUACAGAGAAGAGGAUGCCUGUAGGCUGGGAGAGCACUUUUAAAAAUAAUUUGACUGAUUUUUCUCCUUCUUUCUUCGCAUCCAGUCAGUCUCCACUCCUGGCAUAUGCAGUAGGAGCAAAAGGUCUGGCUUGAAGAUUUUUUGGGGAUUUUAUUCCACCCAACAGGAAAAUCCCUCUGAAUUUCAUCCCAUUGUCCACCAAAUUUUGCCCGUCUCAACCCUUGGUCCAGGAGCAGAGCCCAGAGGAGGAGAAAGCAAUUUGCCAUUGCCAUUCCUGGUCCUUGCAAAUUUUUCCACUUGCAGAAUGGGGUGCAGUGAAGAGACUUCAUUUGGUGGUGUCUGAAGGGUCUCCAGGUUCUCCUCAAGAGCUGGGAGUGGCUGAGGGCACUCAAGGGGGCAGUGGGGUUGGGUGGCUGAGGUUGUGCUUUUUGAUCUUUGCUUAAGGAGGAGUUGGUGGGGAGGGAAGAAGGGAGCUGAGGAACUGGGACUGGGGCUUCCUGAGGUCCCCACCAGCUGGAGUCACCCCAGAUUGUCACUGAGCUCCUAGUGGGGACACAGGAGGGUGGCUGGGACAUCUCCUGCUAGCAGAAACGUCCCUGUUGCUCUGUGCUGAUUCUGCUGCCUCCUUCAGGGACUGUGGCAGGAGGAGGAAGAGGGAGGAAGAAGCUGAGGUCACCACCAUUUCAGGAGGUUGUGAAUUUUCCCUUCCUUCUCCUUUACCAUUCACCACAGACCCUGUAGAUCCUCUCUGGAGAGAAAACACCAGGGAGCAUGGCAUGGGGGGAUGAGAACCCUUGGUGGCUUUGAAAGAGAUGGCAGAGAGGAAAAACAGCCCAGCAUUGGCAAAGGGGGGAAAAUAGACUGAGAGAAAGAAGCUGAAAAUGUGCUGAAACGGCUGAUGACAGCCCAAACAGCAGGAGAAGGCUCCUGCCUGCCAAUUAACGAGGCUCUGGUGCUAAUUUGCCACCUUGACUGCACUUCUGAGCUUGGCAGGAGAAGGGGGAGGAAAAACAAAAAGAUGAGGCUAAAAAGGAGCCAGUGAGGUUUUGGGUUGCCUCUUGGCCAUGCAGAUGUCACUGGGCUUUGGAGAGCCAGGGGAAACAGGGGGGGCUGGUGGCAAACCCCACCAAUACACAAGCCUGGUGUGUGGAGAGAAUGAUGACAAGUUUCCAUGGGCUGGUGCUGGCAGGGCAGCUCUGGGCCACGAUGCUGCCCACCUCAGGGGUGCCAGCUUCCCAGGGAUCACAUCCCACCAUCUGCUGGGCUGUUGGGAGAGUGAGAGGUGAUCCCAAGUGUGCCCAGGAGCAUCUCUGUGGUGACUGAGUUGUGAGGAAGGAGCCCGAGCUGUGCUGGGGCAGAGAGGGCAGCUUGGCAUCUCCUGCCUCCCCCAGAAACGCUGUCAAGCACAGAGCAGGUCUGCUGGCAGCUGCCUGCUGUGGCUAACAGAGCCGCAGGAGCCCUGGGCAAAACGCUCAUCCUGCAGCUUCCUGCCAAGCCAAACCCUGAUUCCCUGAUUCCCUCCUCCUGCCCAUCCUGCAGCCCAAACCAGAGACCAGGGGGAUGCAUUAAAAGCAACAUCUGCACCAGUGUGCUGUUUGCAUGCAAAGCAGGAGAGUUCCUGCCAGCUCCAGCGUGUUACCUGGAGCUCUCCCAGCCCUCCCUCCUCCCCUGGGAUGUUUUCAUUCCUGUGCAUCCACGUUCUUCUGUGCCAGGCUGGCAGUGUUUGCUGCGAGCCACAGGGGUAAACUGAGGCAGGCUGGAGCAAGAAUGCCGAGUUAGGCUGACAGCCUCUCUCCACGGCAAAGCUGGCCUUGCUGUUUGGGUCCAGCCUGAUGCAGAGGUGCCCUUGGGCCACCACCUGAUGGCACACAGGGCUGGAGGCUCAAAGGGUGAAGGCAGGAGGGGGAAAAGGGUGUAGGUUACAAAGGUGGAGCUGUUUGCUCAGGUGCAGCCCAUCACAGCCCAUCCCUGGCUGUCUCAGGGUGGCAGAUGGAGGCAGGACCAGCCCCAGCCUGAGGGCCAUCAUCUCUCUCUGCCCUGGGAGAGCUGUGCAGGAAACCCCAUGCUGCUGCCUGGGCUGGGGGUGAAACAGCCUGGCCCUCCCUGGCCUCCUUUGCCCUGGCAGAGCUGCCAAACAAACGUGUCUGGAGGCAACCAGAGUGUCUGCAUCCAGCAAGUGAAGAGCUCAGCUUGUUAUUUAAAGGCCAUUUUCUGGCUUUCAUACUGCAGAGAAUCUCAUAUAAACACAGAGUCUAGAAAGGGACAACCCCAAACACAGGAGUUGUUAAAACCUGAUGGGUUUGGUGCUGAAUUCCUGGUUCAGGCUGGCUGUUCCCAUCCUGAGGCCAGAUCCCAGCUCUCCAGCCAGCCCUGCUGCCAUCAGCACUGUUCUGUGCAGGGAAAGCACUGCAAGGUAAUCAAAUGCUGACCUCCAGUUAUUAACCUUGUCCUUUUAAUCACCUCCGCUGAGUGCCUUAAUUGCUGGGCAGGGAUGGGAGGACCUGGCUGCUUCCACCUGAGAUUCCCACACAGCCUGGCAGUCUCUCCCAGGGCAUCCUGCUGCUGCUGCUCUUCCUUUAACUCACACAAAUCCCCCAAAAAGGUGGGAGCAUUUCUCUCCCAAAAUACAGCAAUUCAGCAGCCAAAUUUAAGGAACCAAUUCUGUUUUUCUGAGUUAAAGAGGGGGUGCAGCCCCAUGGUUUGGGGGUGGGUGACCAAGGUCUUGUCUGCCUCCCCAUGGGAAGUGCUUUUUGCUGAGACAGGGCUCUGCCAGCUGCCAAGCCUUGGAGUGCCAUGCAUAGCCUCAUUCCUAAAGGGAAUUAAUUGGCAAUUUGGGCCAAACUUGGUGCUUUUGGGCAAUAGGUUACAGAUAUUGCUGAGAGGCUGUGGAGAGAGGAGAGGCAACUGCUGAGGAUGCAAAGAGCUGGUGGCUCAUCCUUCCAGCUGCCUGCCUCCCCUUACUCCCUGCAGUGCUUUUUUGCAUCAAAUUAAAAGUAAAUGGCCUUCAUCCACCUCCCUCCUCACACAUGGGACUGUUAGGGCAUCACUUGGCUCCAUCUGGAGCCUAAACAAAGCCAGAGAAGUGCAGGGUGCAUCCCUUGAUGGGUACCUUGAGGUGCUGCCAGUCACCCCAACAACUCUUAUAUUCAUGUUGACCUGGGUUUAGGAUGUGGGACUGGUUCAGGACACCAAAAAAUAUGGUAGGAAGUGCUCUUUCUAGAGGAGAUGGGAGUGGGCCAAGGAAUGUUAGCCUGCCACAUGGCCCACGUGAUGAUGGGGAGAACCCCAGAAUGGUUUGGGUUAGAAAACACCUUAAAUCUCAUCUUGCUCUAACCUUCCACAGGCAGGGACACCUUCCAGUAGCCCAAAGCCUCAUCCAACCUGGCCUUGGACACUUCCACGGAUGGGACACCACAGCUGCUCUGGACAACCAAGAAGUGAUGGAAUAUACACAGCAGAAGCCAAAAUAACUUCUCUAGCUGGGAAUCCUGCUGGCAGCCCUGCCUGCUCAGGAGCACUGCUGGCCCUCAUGCCUGUGCCCUCCCCAUCCUCAGGCUGAUGUCUGCCAGCACUGCCUGGGGAGCCCAGAGGAUGGCUUUGACUUUUCAUUUCCUCCUGGUGUGUUUAAUUGCCUGAUUUUUUUUUUCCCUUUAGGACUGGGAGAGAGAGGAGAGGUGGGCAAAGGAAGACAGAUGUGUGGAAAAUAGAAGGCUAGGUGACAGAUUGAGGGCUGCUAUAACCACAAUAGCCAGCCUGAUGGAUUGAUAGAUUAGACAGGGAAUAUAAAUAGCAAGUAUGGUUUAUCUAUCCCUGUUUUAUUUUCCUCUUGUCUGUCUCUUUAUCUCUCCUGGAGUUAUUUUCCUCCUGCUUAUCUCUUUAUCUGCCCAGCGCGAGGAUGGGGGAGAGGUGGGUGACAGGAGCAGGAUGGAUGAGUUCAGGUUUCCACUGCCUUUGCAGCAUCCAAGCAGACAAGUUUUGCCAGCUGUGGAGGAUUAGAAGGCGGCCUCAGACCUGCACACUGAUUCACAUUUCCCACCCCUCUCCUUUCCCUGCCCCAUCCCCUUUGUCUGCACACCUCCCUUGGGGAUCCCUGCGGUCACAGGGUCUGCUCCUUCCUCUCUCUGCCUCAUCCUUGGCCAAGGGAUGAGGGCAGGCACUGGAGCAGUGAGCUCUGCUUGUCUGGGCUCCCGACAUUCCCAUCUGACAGCCAGGCAGCUCCACUGCUUGAUAUUCCAGUCAGGCACCCAGCACAGCAGCACUGGGAAGGAGGGAGGGAG